rnacentral:rRNA from 1 species
UACGUAGGGUGCGAGCGUUGUCCGGAAUUAUUGGGCGUAAAGAGCUCGUAGGCGGUUUGUCGCGUCUGCCGUGAAAGUCCGGGGCUCAACUCCGGAUCUGCGGUGGGUACGGGCAGACUAGAGUGAUGUAGGGGAGACUGGAAUUCCUGGUGUAGCGGUGAAAUGCGCAGAUAUCAGGAGGAACACCGAUGGCGAAGGCAGGUCUCUGGGCAUUAACUGACGCUGAGAAGCGAAAGCAUGGGGAGCGAACAGG